rnacentral:rRNA from 1 species
CUUACACAUGCAAGUCGAACGGAAAGGCCCUUCUUUUGUGGGGUGCUCGAGUGGCGAACGGGUGAGUAACACGUGAGUAACCUGCCCUUGACUUUGGGAUAACUUCAGGAAACUGGGGCUAAUACCGGAUAGGAGCUCCUGCUGCAUGGUGGGGGUUGGAAAGUUUCGGCGGUUGGGGAUGGACUCGCGGCUUAUCAGCUUGUUGGUGGGGUAGUGGCUUACCAAGGCUUUGACGGGUAGCCGGCCUGAGAGGGUGACCGGCCACAUUGGGACUGAGAUACGGCCCAGACUCCUACGGGAGGCAGCAGUGGGGAAUAUUGCACAAUGGGCGGAAGCCUGAUGCAGCAACGCCGCGUGCGGGAUGACGGCCUUCGGGUUGUAAACCGCUUUCGCCUGUGACGAAGCGUGAGUGACGGUAAUGGGUAAAGAAGCACCGGCUAACUACGUGCCAGCAGCCGCGGUGAUACGUAGGGUGCGAGCGUUGUCCGGAUUUAUUGGGCGUAAAGGGCUCGUAGGUGGUUGAUCGCGUCGGAAGUGUAAUCUUGGGGCUUAACCCUGAGCGUGCUUUCGAUACGGGUUGACUUGAGGAAGGUAGGGGAGAAUGGAAUUCCUGGUGGAGCGGUGGAAUGCGCAGAUAUCAGGAGGAACACCAGUGGCGAAGGCGGUUCUCUGGGCCUUUCCUGACGCCGAGGAGCGAAAGCGUGGGGAGCGAACAGGCUUAGAUACCCUGGUAGUCCACGCUGUAAACGGUGGGUACUAGGUGUGGGGUCCAUUCCACGGGUUCCGUGCCGUAGCUAACGCUUUAAGUACCCCGCCUGGGGAGUACGGCCGCAAGGCUAAAACUCAAAGGAAUUGACGGGGCCCCGCACAAGCGGCGGAGCAUGCGGAUUAAUUCGAUGCAACGCGUAGAACCUUACCUGGGUUUGACAUGGAUCGGGAGUGCUCAGAGAUGGGUGUGCCUCUUUUGGGGUCGGUUCACAGGUGGUGCAUGGCUGUCGUCAGCUCGUGCCGUGAGAUGUUGGGUUAAGUCCCGCAACGAGCGCAACCCUUGUUCACUGUUGCCAGCACGUUAUGGUGGGGACUCAGUGGAGACCGCCGGGGUCAACUCGGAGGAAGGUGGGGAUGACGUCAAGUCAUCAUGCCCCUUAUGUCCAGGGCUUCACGCAUGCUACAAUGGCUGGUACAGAGAGUGGCGAGCCUGUGAGGGUGAGCGAAUCUCGGAAAGCCGGUCUCAGUUCGGAUUGGGGUCUGCAACUCGACCUCAUGAAGUCGGAGUCGCUAGUAAUCGCAGAUCAGCAACGCUGCGGUGAAUACGUUCCCGGGGCUUGUACACACCGCCCGUCAAGUCAUGAAAGUUGGUAACACCCGAAGCCGGUGGCCUAACCGUUGUGGGGGAGCCGUCGAAGGUGGGACUGGUGAUUAGGACUAAGUAA